AUGAUGGCGGGAAGAAACUUUCAUGACCCACUUAACGACCCACGGAAGGGGAUGGUCGAUCAGGCUUGGGCAAUGUUGAAAGGCUGGGGAAAGACCGUGGCUAUACUUCCUGACAACCGGUGCCAACGCCAUCCAGUCUGGAAUGUGCCCGCCACUCCGGCCAGCAAUCCGACCUCUACUGCGACGAAUUUAACAGCAAGCUACUGCAGUCACUGCCCGCACUGCCAGCGGGAGAAAGCAACGGCAAGUCUUCAACAGCAGCAGCAGCAGGCACCCGCAAGGUUUUCUCGUGCUCUGGAUUCUCUAUUUCCUUUUGAGAAUGCUCUACAGUACAGGUUCCUCGCUUGA
rnacentral:rRNA from 1 species